rnacentral:rRNA from 1 species
CAUGUGGCUUAAUUUGACUCAACGCGGGAAAUCUUACCGGGUCCGGACACACUGAGGAUUGACAGGCAAUAUAUGUGACUCUUCGGAGUUUGCAUUGUUAAAUAUGCUAGUCCUUUCAUGAUUAUGUGAUAGGUGGUGCAUGGCCGUUCUUAGUUCGUGGAGUGAUCUGUCUGCUUAAUUGCGUUUCAAAUUACUUAUAAGGUAGCAAUACGCGAUGAAGCUUUCAAUAGUCCUCACGGAUUCACUUGAGUCUCUCGCUUCGCUAUCCUUUCGAAUGCAACGAACGUGACCGCAACCUCUUGUUGCCUUCGUUUAACAUCCUGCAGCUCGCUGUGGGUACUGAGGGCUUCACUCGGUGACUUUGGGCUGAGCAAUCGGUC